rnacentral:rRNA from 1 species
CCUUGCCUACGGGGGGCAGCAGUGAGGAAUAUUGGUCAAUGGACGAGAGUCUGAACCAGCCAAGUAGCGUGAAGGAUGACUGCCCUAUGGGUUGUAAACUUCUUUUAUAAAGGAAUAAAACGAGGCACGUGUGCCUUUUUGCAUGUACUUUAUGAAUAAGGAUCGGCUAACUCCGUGCCAGCAGCCGCGGUAAUACGGGGGAUCCGAGCGUUAUCCGGAUUUAUUGGGUGUAAAGGGCGUGUAGGCGGG